CAAACUUAAACAAAAGAAAACUUAACAAAACACUUAACAGAUUCAGUAUAGACAGCAGAAUUACCUGACUGUACCCCAGAAAGUUCAAUUUAUAUCUAUCAUAGUUCACAGCUUCAUCUUCUAUAUCCUUAUCCAGGCACAAUGCUGCUCUCUUUUGCAGUAAAGUGACACAAAAACAGCUGUUAGCAUUACAACCACAUGUGACAAUUUCCAAUUAAUUUCAAAAUUAAAUAAGCUCUUUUCCAGUAAUUCUUUGAUGUUAUCUAAUUUUCUGCCAGCUGGUAAAGUCAGAGAGACAGAAAUCUCAAAGUAAUCUGAAUUUUAUGGUUCUGAACUUUUCUCCCUUACAAGGAGCAAACCGUUUUUUGCUUUGGUCUUUGAGGGAUUAUUAGUACAGAGGAACUAUUAUAACAACAAUGAAGGGAAUGUUUGAUUUUCAUUUCAUCUUGUAAGUCCAUCUCUGGUCUUGAAACUAUGAUCCCUUAUACUGUGGUAUAUACCAAGAACUGAUCAAAAGUUGCUUCAAAAGCUCAUUAACACUUUAACACUAAAAAAAGCACUAGGAAAACACAUUAAACUUUUCAUCAGUCACUCCACCACCAAACUGCCAUUUCCUCACACUGAGGUUACAUGCAGUGGAUUCAUUUUCUCUUCCUCUAGGUCACUCCAUAAUAACUCCCAGUAAAGUCACAGAGAGAGGCUUAAAGGGUUUGUUUUUUUUUAGCUAAAUUCCAGCAGGAAAAAUCAAGGCUAUGUCUGUGCUGUCUGUUACAGAAGGGCCAAGCCUACCUCAAGGCAGAUCUACUAAUUCUCUAUAGCAUGGUUCUACAAGUGUCUGUGAAUGUACACUCCGGGCCACGUGUGAGGGGGUGGCACAGCAUCCAACUUUGUGUGCCAAGGGAGGCAGUCAUGUGGCCUUACAUACCUGUGACUGCUUUAAGACCAACCUUUUAGUGAAGUAUAAGCAGGACCUCAUCUCAGAGCAGCAAUCUCAUCUGUUAAUAGACAACCACAGCUGAGUCUGGGCAGGCUCUGAUCUUUAGAAGAGGCUGGACUCUUCUCAAGGGGUGAGAACAGCUAUUUGUAUUUGCAGUUAUCAGCCUUCAGCAUCAACCUCUUCAGCUGCUUCACAUCCAGACAGGACUGCUUGGAACCACAUGACAAACCUCUGAACACUGCAGCCAAAACAGGUGCAAAAACAUGUAGUCAAGUUGAAAAAACAAGAAAAAAAGAGAGCUGAAAAUUAACAACCCUUUGGAGUUGUUGGGUUAAAUUAUACUGUGCAUAGAAUUUGCAUAGCACUACACAUAAUUUUUCCUCAUCAAAGGUAAUCCUAAUCUAGAAUAACACAAGAGUUAUUUCUUUUCCAGGCAUGCUACAUCUGCUCUGUCAUGUACUUUCUAUGUGCAGGAAUUUCCUCCUCUUCCUCACUGCUGGUCAACUUCAGUAAAUCUAAUUCAACCAAUCCCUCUUCUAGUUCAGCAUCACCUCUUCCAGAGGUGUUAAUGUAAAUCCAUGAUGCUCUGUACAAUCUUUUAUCAUAUCACUGCAUGACAAUUUCAGGUUCUGAUUUGGAAGUUGUUCCUGGCCCUUUUGGGUACAUACAACUGCUUUGAAAUACGGUUUGCAGGCACCUUUAAAGGCCAAAAGCAAAGCAUCAAACAAAAAGAACCUACAGCUUUCUAUUUAAAAACAAAGCCCCAUCAUUUCCAUACACUCUCACUUUUUUUUUUAAUACUUGACUCAUCAUCUUGUAACAGCACUGGCAAUACUACAAAAGUCACUUCCCUGAGGAGCUGCCCAGGCACUUGUAUAUGUGAUGAUAUAUCCCUGUGAUAGAUGCCAGCAGCAGUAAAUAAACUUUCCAGUCUUACACUCAUGCUAAAGAUCUAGCAAUCUACAGGAAAGCUUCCAAAAGAUUCCCCAAGUGCUUGCAGACAUUUUACUGGUACAUAAAGUCUUUUGUAUCUACACACUUAAUCUAAAGCACAAUUAAACUCCAUAGAGAAAAUCCCAUUAAUGUCAGAAACCUUUGGAUCAAGUUCUAGAAUUACCAGUGCUAGCCCAGUUUACAAGGGCUGACCUUCAUACCUGUUUGGCUGCUGAUACUUAUGUCACGAUCAUAUAUUUUUAUUUCAGGCAAGGAGCACAAUGGAAUAAGCCAAGACAAUUUUACUUGGCUUUCUAUUUUUGUUUCAUCAAAGCUUGCCUCUGUACCAGUAAUAUCUAAAUGCAUCUGCAUUUAACAUUUUCAGACCUAUGUUCAGUUCAUUUGGUCAAGUGUCCUCUGCUGUUUUAGGUGCAAACCAGGAAGUGUCUCAUUUAUGCUUUGAAAUUUAUUUGAAUUUAUUGUUUAGUCCUCUUGUUAACUUUGUGCUUAAAUAAAGUACUCUGCAAGCACUGGCUCUGUGCGUGAAGGAAGUUCCUAUUAUCGCAUUCUUCGUGUUACUGUAAACAGAUCCCUCCUCCUUGCACGGCAUCUCAGGCCAGUGGCUGCAUAACAUACUGGAGAAUUACCCUGGGAAACUGAGGACUGAGCCCUCGAGGGCUCAGCAGCGAAGGUCACAGACCCAGCCUCCAGACCUUGACCUUGGCUGACUGUGUGACAGUGCCAACAUACCAGGCAAGAGGAGAGUGGGGGAGAAGGGUCAGCAGACAUUGGAGACAGAUGGCCUAAUUCAUCAUACACCAGAAAUAAAUAAAAAAAAAGCUGUUCCAAGCUUUACACGCACAGCAAUGGUUGUAAAUUCCACAACUGUGGAGACCUGCCAAGCCAUUAUACGCAUACCCAUACUGCAGUCACUGGGUAUAGCUCCUGAAAGGUGAGCUCAGGAGAAACUACAAAGCAUGAAGAGUGCUGAGAUCUCAGGAAAUUGGUUCAUAAAAUUAUCCUCCAAGCCCUAGUGGAAAAACAAUACGCAGAAGUUAGGGACUGAUGUGAUAUUACAGGUUAUUUAUAAACAAUGCAUUAUGUAAUGCAUAAGUUGUCCAUGGAUGGGAUACAAGGUAUUUUAUAUCUAAUAAGUGUCUUUCAAUAAUAUUUUUUUUUUCUAUUUUGCUCUUAAUAGUUUCCCAAUUGGAGCUACUUGAUGGCGUGUCCUGCUAAAUAAAGUUCUCUUGUCACCAAGCAGAGUACCUCAUAGGAACUGGCAAGGCUGGUGAUGCCACUUUGGGAGGAUGGAAUGCAAACCAAACAGAGCUUUUCCCAGACCAUGUAUUUUGGUUUCUCUGUAGAAAGAGCAACAGAGCAUCCUGGAUGCUGCCUUUCAAUUUUUGGCAUCUAGAAAUUCACAGAGUGAAGGAAACAGAGUAAUUUUAAUGUGUUGUUGCACAGGCCGAGUGCUCAAAGUGGUUUUGUGAGCACAGCUUCCCUACAAAGACAGCAGCAGCCAUUGAAUUACUGAAUAUCACAAAGCAAGUGCCAGAAAGCUCGACCAUGGCUUUCAUCCAGCCCUUUAGCUCUUUCUACACAGGCCAACAUCUAUGCUCUACACAACAGAGAGUUAUUAAUACAACCUCCACAAUCAGCCAGUGUAAAAACCCACACAUAGAACCAAGGGCUCCAUUCAGGGGUUCCUUAGGAACACAUGGUAUGGAUAACUCUGCAAAUUCUUAUCACUAAUCUGAAACUGCAACCCACGGAGCAGCCUUUCCUUUUGCUGCCAGGUGACCUUGGAGGGAUCAGACAGGAGAAGGAACUCCUUUCUCUAAAAAAACAAGCCCAAACUGCAUCACUCAGCAACUCAGAGGAAUUGGACAAUGAAGCCUAAGUGUACUGUGCUGAAUAUCACCAGCUAAUUCUGACAAGGGGACAUUUUGCUCACUGAAGACCUGCUCUACAUCCAUGAAGUACCCCAGCCUCCUGAGGAAGAGGGAGGAGGAACUACAAUACAGAAAGCAGAAAUAUUCUCCAGUUUUCCUUCUUACUCCAGCUAUCCACCAAAUUAUUUCUUCAUGAAAACAAAUCCUCCUCUUCCAUUCA